rnacentral:rRNA from 1 species
CCUACGGGGCGCAGCAGUGGGGAAUAUUGGACAAUGGGCGAAAGCCUGAUCCAGCCAUGCCGCGUGUGUGAAGAAGGCCUUCGGGUUGUAAAGCACUUUCAGUGGGGAAGAAAGCCUUGGGGCUAAUACCCUCGAGGAAGGACAUCACCCACAGAAGAAGCACCGGCUAACUACGUGCCAGCAGCCGCGGUAAUACGGAGGGUGCGAGCGUUAAUCGGAAUUACUGGGCGUAAAGCGCGCGUAGGCGGUCUGAUAAGCCGGUUGUGAAAGCCCCGGGCUCAACCUGGGAACGGCAUCCGGAACUGUCAGGCUAGAGGGCAGGAGAGGAAGGUAGAAUUCCCGGUGUAGCGGUGAAAUGCGUAGAGAUCGGGAGGAAUACCAGUGGCGAAGGCGGCCUUCUGGACUGACACUGACGCUGAGGUGCGAAAGCGUGGGUAGCAAACAGGAUUAGAUACCCCAGUAGUC